rnacentral:lncRNA from 1 species
AGGAAUUUAUGCUUUAUUGUUGUAUAUAAAGAGAAAGAGAGAGAGAACCUAUAGAGACAAAAUAGUUUAAAGUUCAAAGCAGAAGAAUAUCAAAACAUUUCUAGAGGAUGUCUGAUUCUGAUGUUUUUAAUCCAGUUUCCUUACCAAGACUUGUUGAAUUUGAUUGGUGCUUUGAUGUUGUAGCUGCAUCAAACAACAUUAACAGAAUGUCAGUACCAACAUGUUUGCUUCGGUUAAAAGUAG